UGGGGAAUAUUGCUCAAUGGAGGAAACUCUGAAGCAGCAACGCCGCGUGAAGGAAGAAGGCUUUCGGGUUGUAAACUUCUUUGAAUGGGGACGAAUAAAUGACGGUACCCAUAGAACAAGCCACGGCUAACUACGUGCCAGCAGCCGCGGUAAUACGUAGGUGGCGAGCGUUAUCCGGAAUUACUGGGUGUAAAGGGCGUGCAGGCGGGAUUAUAAGUCAGAUGUGAAAUGCCAAGGCUUAACCAUGGAAUUGCAUCUGAAACUAUAGUUCUUGAGUGCUGGAGAGGAAAGCGGAAUUCCUAGUGUAGCGGUGAAAUGCGUAGAUAUUAGGAGGAACACCAGUGGCGAAGGCGGCUUUCUGGACAGUAACUGACGCUGAGGCGCGAAAGCGUGGGGAGCA
rnacentral:rRNA from 1 species